GACGAACGCUGGCGGCGUGCUUAACACAUGCAAGUCGAACGGAAAGGCCCUGCUUGCAGGGUACUCGAGUGGCGAACGGGUGAGUAACACGUGGGUGAUCUGCCCUGCACUUCGGGAUAAGCCUGGGAAACUGGGUCUAAUACCGGAUAGGAGCCAUUUUUAGUGUGAUGGUUGGAAAGUUUUUUCGGUGUAGGAUGAGCUCGCGGCCUAUCAGCUUGUUGGUGGGGUAAUGGCCUACCAAGGCGGCGACGGGUAGCCGGCCUGAGAGGGUGGACGGCCACAUUGGGACUGAGAUACGGCCCAGACUCCUACGGGAGGCAGCAGUGGGGAAUAUUGCACAAUGGGCGCAAGCCUGAUGCAGCGACGCCGCAUGGGGGAUGACGGCCUUCGGGUUGUAAACUCCUUUCGCUAGGGACGAAGCUUUUUGUGACGGUACCUAGAUAAGAAGCACCGGCUAACUACGUG
rnacentral:rRNA from 1 species